rnacentral:rRNA from 1 species
UGGGGAAUCUUGCGCAAUGGGCGAAAGCCUGACGCAGCAACGCCGCGUGUGUGAUGAAGGUCUUCGGAUCGUAAAGCACUGUCGGGAGGGACGAAUAAGGGUCCGUCUAACAAGCGGAUCCGAUGACGGUACCUCCAAAGGAAGCACCGGCUAACUCUGUGCCAGCAGCCGCGGUAAUACAGAGGGUGCAAGCGUUGUUCGGAAUUAUUGGGCGUAAAGCGCGUGUAGGCGGCCAAGCAAGUCAGGUGUGAAAGCCCUCGGCUUAACCGAGGAAGUGCGCCUGAAACUACUUGGCUUGAGUACCGGAGAGGAUGGUGGAAUUCCCGGUGUAGAGGUGAAAUUCGUAGAUAUCGGGAGGAACACCAGCGGCGAAGGCGACCAUCUGGACGGAUACUGACGC